rnacentral:rRNA from 1 species
CCUACGGGUGGCAGCAGUGGGGAAUAUUGCACAAUGGGGGAAACCCUGAUGCAGCGACGCCGCGUGAGUGAAGAAGUAAUUCGUUAUGUAAAGCUCUAUCAGCAGGGAAGAAAAUGACGGUUACUGAGCAAGAAGGCCCCGGUUACCACGUGCCAGCAGCCGGGGUAAUACGUAGGGGGCAAGCGUUAUCCGGAUUUACUGGGUGUAAAGGGAGCGUAGACGGCAGUGCAAGUCUGGAGUGAAAGUCGAGGGCUCAACCCCCUGACUGCUGUGGAAACUGUAAGGUUGGAGUGCAGGAGAGGUAAGUGGAAUUCCUAGUGUAGCGGUGAAAUGCGUAGAUAUUAGGAGGAACACCAGGGGCGAAGGCGGCUUACUGGACUGUAACUGACGUUGAGGCUCGAAAGCGUGGGGAGCAAACAGGAUUAGAUACCCCUGUAGUC